rnacentral:rRNA from 1 species
GUCUAUGGCCAUACCACCCUGAUGGUGCCCGAUCUCAGAAACUAAGCAGGGUUAGACCUUGUUAGUAUUGGAUGGGAGAUCUCUUGGGAACACUGGGUACUAACAGCU